UCUCGAUUGGUCUAGUGGUCAGGAUACCUGCUUGUCAUUCAUUGAUUGAAAAUCGUGGAAUAAACCGCAGGUGGCCGGGGUUCGAUUCCCCGAUCGGGAG